AGAGAUCCGCCUGGCUCUGCCUCCCGAGUGCUGGGAUUAAAGGCGUGCGCCACCACCGCCCGGCUAGAUAUACAUUCUUAACAAAAUAUAAGCCUGUGGAUAUUUCAUUGUAAUCUAACAUUAAUCAAAUUAUUCCAGCAAAUGCUUUUUCAAUGCAAUAGAUAAGGACUACUCAGUUUUCUAAGUAUAAAAAUGUUUCUAAGUAGUUUCUCAUGGAGAAUAAGCUAGGUCUUAUUUUUACUUGCAGAAAAAUUACUUAAAGAAAAGAAUUAGAUACUUUUUAUGUUCAUGAAGAAAGAUGAACAGUAAAAAAAGAUUUAAAUUAAUGAUAUAAUUGUAAAAGCAUUGUUUCUUUCCUAUUUAACCUAGGCAAAUUUGUUUAUUUAUAUCUACAAUUAUAUUACAUUCACAUAUACAUCUUGUUAUAGUAGUAUAUAAACUACUUAGUAUUCAUCUUUCAUGUGUUUUUGUUUGUUUUUACAUUAGUAUUCCCACUUUACAAAUUAUAAAAUUAAUAUACUAGUUCUAAUUAAGGUUAUUUAGACACAUUUUGUGUUAAUGAAGAGUCUGUAACUUUAUGUGUUUAUACAUCUUAUAAAUUUAUAUAUUUAUGUAUUUAUACAUCUUCAGUGUAUAAAAUUUUAAAAACUUGUUUUAUUUUUGUAUAUUUUUCAUGUAGGAUUAUUAAAGGUAAACAUCUAGUGUUCCCUCUAAUGUACUGUAAGAAAAAGUAGCCUGUAUGAUAUUAAAGGCAAUAUAAAUUAUACAGUUGGGCUUGAUGAGGAACACUUAUACCAGCACCUGCCAAGAUUAUACCCUGCUACAUACCCAGUUUGAGGCCAGCCAUGAGUCAUAAGACCCUGUGUCAGAAGAAAACAUGAAAGGAAAAAAAAAACACUGAAUACCUUCCUACAAAAUCAGGAGUUAUAAGACUAUGUAAAUUAAUUUGAUAUUUUGGAGUUGGCUACUAAGAUUUUUAUGAUUUCUGAUUCUCAAGCUUAAUUGUUGAAUAUAAAAAUAGCAAAAUGUCAGAUCUGUCAGUGAACAGAUAAGGAUUAUAGCUUAAAGUGAAUGUAAUUUCGUAUUUUAAAUAUCCAUUUUCUGUAGAAAUGGUAUUUGUUGAAUUUUAAUUGAAGAAAUGUACAAUUGACAUACAUGUAGAUAUAUUUUAGUUGUUCCAAUUAAAGUGGAUAAAUAAGAAAAUGUUAAUUUCACAUAGGUAAUCAGUCUGAAAGUUAAUACUUCUGUAUUACGAUGUAUGUUAUUUUCCAGUAAUGAUUGAGGAUUUGUUCAAGUAAUUUAAACAGUGUAUUCAUGUUUGAAAUUGUCACAUGAGAACAUCUAGAACGAAUGAACAAUUUAUGCAAACAGAAAACAUGUUCAGGAAGAAUGUUAAAGUUUUAACACUCCAAAAUAGAAAGGAGUAAGAUCACUUCUAUCUGCCUUUGUAUUUUAUAAUGGCCUUUGCAAAUAAGCAACUAAAAAACAAGAAAGAGACAAUUUAUGCCUGUAUCUUUGAUUGACAACAUCAUGGGAGUAAUGGGUUGCCAUAGCCAACUUUCUAUUCCUAGCAGCCCUUAUGAAUGGUUUUUGAACAUUUUUGUGAAGAAUUUUAGACACUCCAGCACCUUAUGUGUCAACAAUGAGUUUUGCAUUAUCCAAUGAUAAAAAGGAGAAGAUGAAAAUUCACGUAAUUAUGAUGACAGACUUAUUAAACCUACUGUGAUAGCAACUUAUGGAGUCUACGAAAAUUUACUAAAGUGAGCUGCAAACUAUAGAAAGAACACAUGAUAAAAGUGGAGAUAAAUUGCUUAGCAGUUAAAAGUGAUCACCAAAAUAGAUAAUCAUUGUAUCUACAACCUUCCUAAUUGUAAAAAGAUCUCAGAAGGUGUUGCGUGACUAAUCUUAUUGGUCAUUAAAAUUGAACUCGGCUUAUUGGAUGGAGACUGAAAUAAUGUCUUUGAAGAAAAUAUUUUAUAUAUAUUUAAAGACUUUCAUUGAUUUUGUUGGACUAACUCAAGAAAUGGAGACACUACCACAUGGAUAAAAAUAGUAUGAUGGAACUGACAUUGGCUUCAUCACAGUGUUUUCAUAAGUACGAAGUGCUUCUCAUGAUAGUAAUGACUUCAUGUUAAUCUUGAAGUUGAUUUGAAGUAAAUUAGAACUGAUUAUAAAUUUUCAUUUUCAAAUGGUUUAACUGUGUAGCACAGUCUGACAUUUGAACUCCCUUUGCCUCAGGUGCCUGAGUGGUGAGAUUAUAGAAAUGGACCAUGUGCUAAGUUAGAACAGUGUUUUAUGAAGCUUUAUAUUACAUUUAAAAUUCAUCCUAAUUUUAACAUACAGUGUUAACCAAAGUU